GACAGAGGUGCCGAGCGUUAGGCGGAAUCACUGGGCUUAAAGCGUGUGUAGGCGGCCCGUUAAGUGUCUUGUGAAAUCCCCCGGCUCAACCGGGGAACUGCUGGGCAUACUGGCGGGCUUGGGUCGCUCAGGGGCAGACGGAACAGGCGGUGGAGCGGUGAAAUGCAUAGAGAUCCGGAAGAACACCGACGGCGAAGGCAGCGUCCUGGCCGAGCACUGACGCUCAGGCACGAAAGCGCGGGGAGCAAACAGG
rnacentral:rRNA from 1 species